GACGAACGCUGGCGGCGUGCUUAACACAUGCAAGUCGAACGGAAAGGCCCUGCUUUUGUGGGGUGUUCGAGUGGCGAACGGGUGAGUAACACGUGAGUAACCUGCCCUUGACUUUGGGAUAACUUCAGGAAACUGGGGCUAUUACCGGAUAGGAGCUCCUGCUGCACGGUGGGGGUUGGAAAGUUUCGGCGGUUGGGGAUGGGCUCGCGGCUUAUCAGCCUGUUGGUGAGGUAGUGGCUUACCAAGGCUUUGACGGGUAGCCUGCCUGAGAGGGUGACCGGCCACAUUGGGACUGAGAUACGGCCCAGACUCGUACGGGAGGCAGCAGUGGGGAAUAUUGCACAAUGGGCGGAAGCCUGAUGCAGCAACGCCGCGUGCGGGAUGACGGCCUUCGGGUUGUAAACCGCUUUCGCCUGUGACGAAGCGUGAGUGACGGUAAUGGGUAAAGAAGCACCGGCUAACUACGUG
rnacentral:rRNA from 1 species